CCUACGGGUGGCAGCAGUGGGGAAUAUUGCACAAUGGGGGAAACCCUGAUGCAGCGACGCCGCGUGAGUGAAGAAGGUUCUCGGUACGUAAAGCUCUAUUAGCAGGGAAGAAAAUGACCGUACCUGACUAACAAUCCCCUGCCAACAUCGUGCCAGCAGCCGCGGUAAGACGAAGGGGGCAAGCGUUCGCCGGUACUACUGGGGGUAACGGGAGCGUAGGCGGUGUUGUAAGUCUGGAGUGAAAGCCGGGGGUGCAACCCGGGGACUGCACUGGAAACUAGGAGACUGGAGUGCAGAAGAGGAGAGUGGAAUUCCAGGUGUAGCGGUGAAAUGCGUAGAUAUAGGGAGGAACACCAGUGGCGAAGGCGGCUCACUGGACUGUAACUGACGUUGAGGCUCGAAAGCGUGGGGAGCAAACAGGAUUAGAUACCCCAGUAGUC
rnacentral:rRNA from 1 species